CGGAGUCAUGACAUCACAAUACUCCAGUCCCGGGGUCGUGAGUCUUAGGACACGGAGCGAUUAUCACUUCAUGCAGCUGAGACAGGGAGAGAUCUUUCAAUCAAGGCCAACCUGGCAGACAGAAGCUAAUGAGGACCACCCUGACAACACCUGACAGCAUGAAAAAUGUCAUUCCCUGAACAAAAGGCUUGUUCCCUUUGGCGGUAUAACUUUCACAUCAGCUGCUGAACUGUGAAGUCAAGUGUAAAUGCUCCAGAAACAGACCUAAAAUAUGUAUUAUUAACGCAAAUAUUUUACCAGUA